rnacentral:rRNA from 1 species
UACGGAAGGCAGCAGUGGGGAAUAUUGCACAAUGGGCGAAAGCCUGAUGCAGCUAUGCCGCGUGUAUGAAGAAGGCCUUAGGGUUGUAAAGUACUUUCAUCGGGGAGGAAAAAACAAAACUAAUAAUUUUAUUUCUUGACGUUACCCGAAAAAGAAGCACCGGCUAACUCCGUGCCAGCAGCCGCGGUAAUACGGAGGGUGCUAGCGUUAAUCAGAAUUACUGGGCGUAAAGAGCACGUAGGUGGUUUUUUUAAGUCAGAUGUGAAAUCCCUGGGCUUAACCUGGAACUGCAUUUUGAAACUGAAAUACUAGAGUAUCGUAGAGGGAGGUAGAAUUCUAGGUGUAGCGGUGAAAUGCGUAGAUAUCUGGAGGAAUACCUGUGGCGAAAGCGGCCUCCUAAAUGAAUACUGACACUGAGGUGCGAAAGCGUGGGGAGCAAACAGGGAUUAGAUACC